UACGAAGGGGGCUAGCGUUGCUCGGAAUUACUGGGCGUAAAGCGCACGUAGGCGGCUUUCUAAGUCGGGGGUGAAAUCCUGGAGCUCAAUUCCAGAACUGCCUUCGAUACUGGAGAGCUCGAGUCCGGGAGAGGUGAGUGGAACUGCGAGUGUAGAGGUGAAAUUCGUAGAUAUUCGCAAGAACACCAGUGGCGAAGGCGGCUCACUGGCCCGGUACUGACGCUGAGGUGCGAAAGCGUGGGGAGCAAACAGG
rnacentral:rRNA from 1 species